GUGGGGAAUAUUGGGCAAUGGGCGAAAGCCUGACCCAGCAACGCCGCGUGAGGGAAGAAGGUUUUCGGAUUGUAAACCUCUGUCCUAAGGGACGAAGGAAGUGACGGUACCUUAGGAGGAAGCCCCGGCUAACUACGUGCCAGCAGCCGCGGUAAUACGUAGGGGGCGAGCGUUGUCCGGAAUGACUGGGCGUAAAGGGCGUGUAGGCGGCUUUUUAAGUCUGGAGUGAAAGUCCUGCUUUCAAGGUGGGAAUUGCUUUGGAGACUGGAGAGCUUGAGUGCGGAAGAGGUAAGUGGAAUUCCCAGUGUAGCGGUGAAAUGCGUAGAGAUUGGGAGGAACACCAGUGGCGAAGGCGACUUACUGGGCCGUAACUGACGCUGAGGCGCGAAAGCGUGGGGAGCGAACAGG
rnacentral:rRNA from 1 species